AUGAAUGACCGCAUGUAUUUAUUUGAAAGGGGCAACUGCUCCACUACAAGAUGGACCUGCGUUGUAUUAGCUAGUAGGUGANGUAACGGCUCACCUAAGCGACGAUACAUAGCCGACCUGAGAGGGUGAUCGGCCACACUGGGACUGAGACACGGCCAGACUCCUACGGGAGGCAGCAGUAGGGAAUCUUCGGCAAUGGGGGCAACCCUGACCGAGCAACGCCGCGUGAGUGAAGAAGGUUUUCGGAUCGUAAAGCUCUGUUGUAAGUCAAGAACGAGUGUGAGAGUGGAAAGUUCACACUGUGACGGUAGCUUACCAGAAAGGGACGGCUAACUACGUGCCAGCAGCCGCGGUACAUACGUAGGUCCCGAGCGUUGUCCGGAUUUAUUGGGCGUACAGCGAGCGCAGGCGGUUUGAUAAGUCUGAACGUUAACAGGCUGUGGCUCAAC
rnacentral:rRNA from 1 species